CAAUAGCGUAUAUUAAAGUUGUUGCGGUUAAAAAGCUCGUAGUUGGAUUUCUGUCUAGGGUGGCCGGUACCCACUAUGUGAAGUAUCUGGUUCAGUCUGGGCAUCCUCUUGGGGAUCGUUCCUGUGCUUGAUUGCAUGGGACGGAAUUCAAGACUUUUACUUUGAGGAAAUUAGAGUGUUCACGGCAAGCUUUCGCUUUGAAUACAUUAGCAUGGAAUAAUAAUAUAGGGCGUAAGUUCUAUUUUGUUGGUUUGCGGAUCGAGGUAAUGAUUAAUAGGGAUAGUUGGGGGUAUUCAUAUUUAAUUGUCAGAGGUGAAAUUCUUGGAUUUAUGAAAGAUGAACUUAGGCGAAAGCAUUUACCAAGGAUGUUUUCAUUAAUCAAGAACGAAAGUUAGGGGAUCGAAGACGAUCAGAUACCAU
rnacentral:rRNA from 1 species